UACGGAGGGGGCUAGCGUUGUUCGGAAUUACUGGGCGUAAAGCGCACGUAGGCGGUUUUGUAAGUUAGAGGUGAAAGCCCGGGGCUCAACUCCGGAAUUGCCUUUAAGACUGCAUCGCUAGAAUUGUGGAGAUGUAAGUGGAAUUCCGAGUGUAGAGGUGAAAUUCGUAGAUAUUCGGAAGAACACCAGUGGCGAAGGCGACUUACUGGACACAUAUUGACGCUGAGGUGCGAAAGCGUGGGGAGCAAACAGG
rnacentral:rRNA from 1 species